rnacentral:rRNA from 1 species
AUUGAACGCUGGCGGCAUGCCUUACACAUGCAAGUCGAACGGCAGCACGGGAGCAAUCCUGGUGGCGAGUGGCGAACGGGUGAGUAAUAUAUCGGAACGUGCCCAGUCGUGGGGAUAACGUAGCGAAAGCUACGCUAAUACCGCAUACGAUCUAUGGAUGAAAGCGGGGGAUCGCAGACCUCGCGCGAUUGGAGCGGCCGAUAUCAGAUUAGGUAGUUGGUGAGGUAAAGGCUCACCAAGCCGACGAUCUGUAGCUGGUCUGAGAGGACGACCAGCCACACUGGACUGAGACACGGCCCAGACUCCUACGGAGGCAGCAGUGGGGAAUUUUGGACAAUGGGCGCAAGCCUGAUCCAGCAAUGCCGCGUGCAGGAUGAAGGCCUCGG